rnacentral:rRNA from 1 species
AUGGACGACGCCGGCGAGACACGCGCGUUCGGGCGCAGCCUGUUCUCGCGGUCGUCGCCGGACUAUGACGAGGAGGAGGCACUGCGAUGGGCGGCGCUGGAGAAGCUGCCCACCUACGACCGCGCCCGGACGGCGGUGCUGGCCAUGCCGGGGGAGGGGCUCAAGGAGGUGAACGUGGAGAAGCUGAGCGCCCAGGAGAAGCACGCGCUGCUGCAGCUCGUCGCGUGGGUCGGCGAUGACCACGAGCGCUUCCUCUCCAAGUUCAAGGACCGCCUCGACCGAGUUGGGAUUCAGCUGCCGACGAUCGAGGUGAGAUACGAGAACCUCAACGUGGAGGCACAGGCGCACGUUGGGAGCAGGGGGCUGCCCACCAUCCUCAACACCUGUGCCAAUGUACUGGAGGGCCUGGCAAAUGCUCUUCACCUAACACCAAACAGGAAGCAGAAAAUACCAAUCCUUCACAAUGUCAGUGGAAUCAUCAAGCCCCACAGGUAA